CCUACGGGUGGCAGCAGUGGGGAAUUUUGCGCAAUGGGGGGAACCCUGACGCAGCAACGCCGCGUGCGGGACGAAGGCCCUCGGGUUGUAAACCGCUUUCAGCAGGGAAGAUCCAGGACGGUACCUGCAGAAUAAGCUCCGGCUAACUACGUGCCAGCAGCCGCGGUCAUACGUAGGGGCCGAGCGUUAUCCGAAUUCAUUGGGCGUAAGGCGCGCGGAGGCGGCCGCCGAAGCGGGACCUCGAACCCCGGGGCCCAACCCCGGGCCGGGUCUGGGACUGGGCGGCUCGAGUGCGGUAGAGGAGAGCGGAAUGCCCGGUGUAGCGGUGGAAUGCGUAGAUAUCGGGAAGAACACCGAUGGCGAAGGCAGCUCUCUGGGCCGUCACUGACGCUGAGGCGCGAAAGCUGGGGGAGCGAACAGGAUUAGAUACCCCUGUAGUC
rnacentral:rRNA from 1 species